GCGGGAAUUCGAUUUUCCGGUUGAUCCUGCCGGACCUGACUGCUAUCGGAUUGAUACUAAGCCAUGUGAGUCAUUGUAGCAAUACAAGGCAGACGGCUCAGUAACACGUAGCCAAUCUAACCUAUGGACGGGGAUAACCUCGGGAAACUGAGGAUAAACCCCGAUAGAUCAUUAUGCCUGGAAAGGUUUAUGGUCCAAAUGAUUCGUCGCCGUAGGAUGAGACUGCGGCCUAUCAGCUUGUUGGUGAGGUAAUGGCCCACCAAGGCUAUUACAGGUACGGGCUCUGAGAGGAGAAGCCCGGAGAUGGGUACUGAGACACGGACCCAGGCCCUAUGGGGCGCAGCAGGCGAGAAACCUUUGCAAUGUGCGCAAGCACGACAAGGUUAAUCCGAGUGUUUCCUGCUAAAGGAAUCUUUUGUUAGUCCUAAAAACACUAGUGAAUAAGGGGUGGGCAAGUUCUGGUGUCAGCCGCCGCGGUAAAACCAGCACCUCAAGUGGUCAGGAGGAUUAUUGGGCCUAAAGCAUCCGUAGCUUGCUCUGUAAGUUUCCGGUUAAAUCCAUUAGCUCAACUAAUGGCCUGCCGAAAAUACUGCAAAGCUAGGAAGUGGGAGAGGUAGACGGUACUCGGUAGGAAGGGGUAAAAUCCUUUGAUCUAUUGAUGACCACCUGUGGCGAAGGCGGUCUACCAGAACACGUUCGACAGUGAGGGAUGAAAGCUGGGGGAGCAAACCGGAUUAGAUACCCGGGUAGUCCCAGCUGUAAACGAUGCAGACUCGGUGAUGCACUGGCUUGUGGCCAGUGCAG
rnacentral:rRNA from 1 species